UACAGGGGGUGCGAGCGUUGUCCGGAAUCACUGGGCGUAAAGGGCGCGUAGGUGGCGGCCCAAGUCCAUGGUGAAAGCUCGAUGCUCAACAUCGAGUCGGCCACGGAUACUGGGUUGCUCGAGCACUGUAGGGGCAGAUGGAAUUCCGGGUGUAGCGGUGGAAUGCGUAGAGAUCCGGAAGAACACCGGUGGCGAAGGCGGUCUGCUGGGCAGUUGCUGACACUGAGGCGCGACAGCGUGGGGAGCAAACAGG
rnacentral:rRNA from 1 species